GCCAUCAACCAGGGGUGCUCCGUCAGGGGCUGAGAUGCGCAGCCGCGCGAACCCUUCAAAGCUGAUCUGGGUAAUACCAGCGGAGCGAGGUACGCAUAUGUUCAU
rnacentral:ncRNA from 2 species